rnacentral:rRNA from 1 species
AGUGAACGCUGGCGGUAGGCCUAACACAUGCAAGUCGAACGGCAGCACAGUAAGAGCUUGCUCUUACGGGUGGCGAGUGGCGGACGGGUGAGGAAUACAUCGGAAUCUACUUUUUCGUGGGGGAUAACGUAGGGAAACUUACGCUAAUACCGCAUACGACCUACGGGUGAAAGCAGGGGAUCUUCGGACCUUGCGCGAUUGAAUGAGCCGAUGUCGGAUUAGCUAGUUGGCGGGGUAAAGGCCCACCAAGGCGAUGAUCCGUAGCUGGUCUGAGAGGAUGAUCAGCCACACUGGAACUGAGACACGGUCCAGACUCCUACGGGAGGCAGCAGUGGGGAAUAUUGGACAAUGGGCGCAAGCCUGAUCCAGCCAUACCGCGUGGGUGAAGAAGGCCUUCGGGUUGUAAAGCCCUUUUGUUGGGAAAGAAAAGCAGCAGGUUAAUACCCCGCUGUUCUGACGGUACCCAAAGAAUAAGCACCGGCUAACUUCGG